AGAGUUUGAUCCUGGCUCAGAACGAACGCUGGCGGCGUGCCUAAUACAUGCAAGUCGAACGAGAAAGCCCGGCUUCGGUUGGGUAAGUAAAGUGGCGAACGGGUGAGUAACACGUGGAUAAUCUGCCUAUGCGUCCGGGAUAAUCCUUCGAAAGGAGGUCUAAUACCGGAUGACACCUUCUGACGGCAUCGUCGGAAGUUCAAAGACGGGGCAACCUGUUGCGUAUAGAUGAAUCCGCGCUCCAUUAGCUAGUUGGCGGGGUAAAAGCCCACCAAGGCUCCGAUGGAUAGCCGGCCUGAGAGGGUGAUCGGCCACACUGGGACUGAGAUACGGCCCAGACUCCUACGGGAGGCAGCAGUAGGGAAUAUUGCGCAAUGGACGAAAGUCUGACGCAGCAACGCCGCGUGGAUGAUGAAGCAUUUCGGUGUGUAAAAUCCUGUCGGUGGGGAAGAAACGUCUGGAGAGUAACUGCUCCAGGCCUGACGGUACCCACAAAGGAAGUCCCGGCUAACUCCGUGCCAGCAGCCGCGGUAAUACGGGGGGGACGAGCGUUGUUCGGAUUUACUGGGCGUAAAGGGCGCGUAGGCGGGUCUUCAAGUCGGAUGUGAAACCUAUCAGCUUAACUGGUAGCCUGCAUUUGAUACUGUUGAUCUUGAGUACGGGAGAGGAGAGUGGAAUUCCAGGUGUAGCGGUGAAAUGCGUAGAUAUCUGGAAGAACACCAGUAGCGAAGGCGGCUCUCYGGACCGAUACUGACGCUCAAGCGCGAAGGCUUGGGGAGCAAACAGGAUUAGAUACCCUGGUAGUCC
rnacentral:rRNA from 1 species